rnacentral:lncRNA from 1 species
GAGGAUAGCUCUAUGUAUAGGAGACUCAUUGGACGGCUACUUUAUCUAACAGUUUACAGACCUGACAUUACAUUUGUUGUUCAUAAGCUCAACCAAUUUGUAUCUCAACCAAGGAAACCUCAUCUAACAGCUGUUCACCACCUACUUCAAUAUAUCAAGGCAACCCUAGGCUAGGGCUUAUUAUUUUCUGCUGAGUCAUCUUUACAAUUGCGUGCAUUUGCUGAUGCCGACUGGGGUUCAUGCCUAGACUCCAGAAAAUCUGUCACUGGGUUUUGUGUGUUCCUUGGGGACACUAUGGUGUCAUUGAAGGCUAAAAAGCAAAGUACAAUAUCAAGAUCAUCCGCUGAAGCCGAAUAUCGUGCUUUAUCUUCCACUGCCAGUGAACUUGUAUGGAUACAUCAGCUGCUUCUUGAUUUCCACAUCACAUCUACAGAUCCAGCUCUGAUCUUUUGUGACAACCAAGCUGCAAUCCAUAUUGCCACCAAUCCCAUUUUCCAUGAGAGAACCAAACACAUAAAAAUCGACACUUUGUGAGGGAUAAGAUCAGUAAUGGCUUCAUCAAGCUAAUGCCAGUUCGAAUCAAUCAUCAACUUGCUGACAUUCUUACGAAACCUUUACCAGCAACUUCACUAUCUCAUCUACUAUCCAAGAUGGCUGUCAUCAAUCUGCACAGUCUAUCUUGAGGGGGAGUAUCAGACUAAUUGGGAUUAAUUUGGCGCCAAAAUUAUCUACUUUGCUUAGCUGUUAGUUGUAAUAUUUUCUUGCCAUUUUCUUUCUUCUAUUUAAUGUAAAUGUCAGACACAUUUUCGAGUUGAGAAAAUACAAUUCCAUUUUUUUCAUUCUCUUUCUUUCUUCAAUACAGACGUCUCGAUUCCGCCUUCCUGACCUUCCCACUUCCAUCUUCUUGCCUUCUGAUUUCCAAACCCAGCUCAAUUCUCUGCCCCUGAAUAAAAAUCUCACUUAUAUGUUUUUUGGACUUCGUCGCUAUGUCAACACCAAGAAGAUUGAAUUGAGGGGCAGGAGAGCUACAGCAAUGGGCUUCCCCGUACUCCAUUCCUUCGAGCAAGA